GGAUGUCUGCUUCGACCUAUUCUUGACCGCAGCACAUCCGUUUUCCUUACAGUAUGUAGUACGCAUUCUACCUUUUCCUACAAUGAAUCCACCAGCAGAAAUUCCUGUACACAUCUUAUCAACAAAGAAUUUGAACCUCAAAGAGUGGCUCAAAGAGGUCAGGAGGCACCUUCAACACUUUUAUUGGAGAUCUCCUUGUCUAGAUCAUCAGAUUCUCACUGUGUUACCUAGGCUGCAGUGCAGUGGUGCGAUCUCAACUCACUGCAACCUCUACCUCCUGGGUUCAAGCAAUUCUCCUGCCUCAGCCUCCCAAGUAGCUGGGAUUACAGGAAUUACACACUAAUAGUGAAGAACAGGUGGCACCUGAAAUCACAGAAAAUUUAUUUGUCCUCAAUGCAAAGAUGAACUAUGAAGAGCACUUUAUUGCGUUUGAAGAAUAUAGGAAUGAUGAGUGAAAUGGUGAAGGAAGUGGAUAAACAAUGAUGUAACGACUGAGCGUCAUCUUGCAACUGAAUAAGCCAGUGAGGAACUUGGUAAAUUUGUUGAUUAUAUUUAGUUUUACAAUGUUUAAUUCUUUAUUAUUUUGAAGUGAUUUAUUUUAUUAUUAGGAAUGAUCAAUAGUAAUGCAUCUUCCAAAACUGUGGAAAGAUCAUAUUGCGCAAACUAGAGCAAAAAAUCACAUUCCUCUUGCAUGGGCAUGAAAUCUUUAUCAAAUGACAUCAGGCACUGAAGCAGCUAUCUGAUACCU
rnacentral:lncRNA from 1 species